CAAAAAUUUCAAACGGCUUCUACCAAACAAAGAAAGUAUUAUGAAGCCGUUCAAAUUUUUAAGUGCAUUUCAUGUGGUGGACCUGAACUCCCAAAGCCCAAAGGUUGGAUCUCAGCAUAAGAAAAUAAUUUGUGGCCAACUUGUCUCUCAACUGGAAAACCAUAACCUUCCAACCCAAAAGCGAGAACUGUACCAAAUAACAUUGGAACUGAAAAGCUGCCCAGCUCCUUGCCUCGCCUGAAACAGAGUGGUUAUCAGGAUCUAGCUAGGAAUCUUCACUUCAGUGGAACUUGCCUGCCUUUGGAAAACUGGGAGGCUAGGACGAGAAGGAUUGAUCUGGCUCUAUUUUCCUCCAUGCCGAAGCUCCCUUGGUGAGAACAUCUAGGCAUCU